AUUGAACGCUGGCGGCAGGCCUAACACAUGCAAGUCGAGCGGAUGAAGGGAGCUUGCUCCUGGAUUCAGCGGCGGACGGGUGAGUAAUGCCUAGGAAUCUCCCUGGUAGUGGGGGAUAACGUCGGGAAACGGGCGCUAAUACCGCAUACGUCCUGAGGGAGAAAGUGGGGGAUCUUCGGACCUCACGCUAUCAGAUGAGCCUAGGUCGGAUUAGCUAGUUGGUGGGGUAAAGGCCUACCAAGGCGACGAUCCGUAACUGGUCUGAGAGGAUGAUCAGUCACACUGGAACUGAGACACGGUCCAGACUCCUACGGGAGGCAGCAGUGGGGAAUAUUGGACAAUGGGCGAAAGCCUGAUCCAGCCAUGCCGCGUGUGUGAAGAAGGUCUUCGGAUUGUAAAGCACUUUAAGUUGGGAGGAAGGGCAGUAAGUUAAUACCGUGCUGUUUUGACGUUACCAACAGAAUAAGCACCGGCUAACUUCGUG
rnacentral:rRNA from 1 species